UGAGAAAAGAAGCUCGUUGUCCUUUCACCAGUUUCACGGAGGUUUUGUUCCGAGGGCAAGAUAUAGUUUAAUGUAGUUGCCUCCUUUGCCAGUGGCAAUCAACAGGAUUUGGUACACGUGGUACAUGUCGGGAGUGAGUGCUUCAAGCACGUUGUCCGUCCUGAAUUCAGCUGCAACCAUUGAGGAGCUGCGUAGGCUACGACUACUAGCAGCACAGGUUCUCGAUUCAACUGGCUAAAGUACAAUCACACACUGCAUAAAUUCUGUUUUGAAGUCAAUGUUUCGGCCGAUGGAAGAGAUUGCUCGAUAUUGAUGCUCCACAAAAAUGUCGUCUUGUGCACUAGUCUGCUGGCUGUCCGUUGCCCUAGCAUGUCAGGCGGGCAUCCAUGUAGCAGCGAUGACGACGACAUCGACAAGAAGAUCAGCUCCAGACGUUUGCACGCUGAACGGAACUGCCCAGCACUGCAGUGGACAAACACUGGACGAUGUGCCACUUCACCUGGCUGUACGGACCACU